rnacentral:rRNA from 1 species
CAGCAGCCGCGGGAAUACGGAGGGUGCAAGCGUUAAUCGGAAUUACUGGGCGUAAAGCGUGCGUAGGCGGUUCGUUAAGUCUGUUGUGAAAGCCCCGGGCUCAACCUGGGAAUGGCAAUGGAUACUGGCGAGCUAGAGUGUGUCAGAGGAUGGUGGAAUUCCCGGUGUAGCGGUGAAAUGCGUAGAGAUCGGGAGGAACAUCAGUGGCGAAGGCGGCUUACUGGCUCAUACUGGACGCUGAGGUGCGAAAGCGUGGGGAGUAAACAGGAUUAGAUACCCCGGUAGUCCCUGUCUCUUAUAC